rnacentral:rRNA from 1 species
CAUGCAGGCGGUUAUACAAGUAGGAUGUGAAAGCCUGGGGCUCAACCUCAGAACUGCAUUCUAAACUGUGUGACUAGAGUAUUGCAGGGGGAGACGGAAUUUCAGGUGUAGCGGUGGAAUGCGUAGAUAUCUGAAAGAACACCAAAGGCGAAGGCAAUCUCCUGGGCAAAUACUGACGCUCAUAUGCGAAAGCGUGGGUAGCAAACA